CAGUUGGAUAAAGUAUAAAACGGCUCAACUCAGCAUUGGAUACUCAUUUUCAUCACCAUGAUGCAUUUCAACUACAUGCUCCUCACUUUUGGACUGCUCAUUUUCAGCUCUUCUCGAGUUAUAUCUCAAAAUAUAUGUCAACUUCCGAAAGUUGUAGGACCAUGCAAAGCUAGUGUUCCUCGUUACUAUUUCAACACAGCAACUGGAACAUGUGAAAGGUUUAAUUAUGGUGGAUGUGAUGGGAAUGCAAACAACUUCCCAGAUGUCUAUGAAUGCAGAGCUAGAUGUUAAACUUAUGGAUAACGUUGACUCCAAUUCCUGAUCUCAUCCCUUUGAGGGAUGGAGUGAAUUCGGCAGCUGAGGAAGAAAUCCGAACUUCCACAGUGCUUCCCGCUAAAACACCUUGCUUGCAUCCGAUUCUAAGCCCCUUAAAUAAACAUAUUAAUGUUUGACACGCU